rnacentral:rRNA from 1 species
UGAGUAACCUGCCCUUAACUCUGGGAUAAGCCUGGGAAACUGGGUCUAAUACCGGAUAUGACUCCUCAUCGCAUGGUGGGGGGUGGAAAGCUUUAUUGUGGUUUUGGAUGGACUCGCGGCCUAUCAGCUUGUUGGUGAGGUAAUGGCUCACCAAGGCGACGACGGGUAGCCGGCCUGAGAGGGUGACGGCCACACUGGGACUGAGACACGGCCCAGACUCCUACGGGAGCAG